AAAUCAUAUUGCGGGCAUUAAUAGGGUAACCCUUUAUAUCAUUCCCAAUCCUCUGGGUAGCAUUCUAAGUUCAGUUGUUGAAAAAUAAUGAUCUCGUCCCUUAGCUU
rnacentral:snoRNA from 1 species